GCCAGGUGUGGUGGGCGCAUGCCUGUAGUACUAGCUACUCGGGAGGCUGAGGCAUGAGGAUGCCCACUGGGUGUUAGCACUAAGUUCAGCAUCAGUACAGUGACCUCCCAGGAGCAGGGGAGCAUUAGAUUGCCUAAGGAGGGGUGAAUCAACCCAGGUUGGAAAUGGAGCAGGGUCAAAAUUCCUGUGCUAGUCAGUAGUGGGAUCAUGCCUAUGAACAGCCAGUGCCUUCAGCCUG
ensembl:misc_RNA Metazoa_SRP Metazoan signal recognition particle RNA